rnacentral:rRNA from 1 species
GAUGAACGCUGGCGGCGUGCCUAAUACAUGCAAGUCGAGCGAACAGACGAGGAGCUUGCUCCUCUGGCGUUAGCGGCGGACGGGUGAGUAACACGUGGAUAACCUACCUAUAAGACUGGGAUAACUUCGGGAAACCGGAGCUAAUACCGGAUAAUAUAUUGAACCGCAUGGUUCAAUAGUGAAAGACGGUUUUGCUGUCACUUAUAGAUGGAUCCGCGCCGCAUUAGCUAGUUGGUAAGGUAACGGCUUACCAAGGCGACGAUGCGUAGCCGACCUGAGAGGGUGAUCGGCCACACUGGAACUGAGACACGGUCCAGACUCCUACGGGAGGCAGCAGUAGGGAAUCUUCCGCAAUGGGCGAAAGCCUGACGGAGCAACGCCGCGUGAGUGAUGAAGGUCUUCGGAUCGUAAAACUCUGUUAUUAGGGAAGAACAAAUGUGUAAGUAACUAUGCACGUCUUGACGGUACCUAAUCAGAAAGCCACGGCUAACUACGU